rnacentral:lncRNA from 1 species
GAACAAAGACUUCUCAACCCUUAAGGGAAUGGAUUGACUUUUACAGUCAUAAAACACCAUAAAUCCUUAGUAUUCUUAGUAACACAAUUGUUCCAUAUUUAACAAACACAGGAUUUUAGCAGCUCACCCAUGGCCUUUAGCGCCCUCAAUAUUUCACAAAACAAAAUAUAACUAACUUUAAAUUUACGUGUUUUGAUAAAAUAAAAAGGCAAAUCAGAAAGCUAUUAUGUAGACCAAGCUAAUUUCAUUUCAUAAUCAUGAAAAACACUUAGAAAUCCAUGUUGAUAUCACAACAAGAAUACUUUCCUAAGUAUUUUCUUACCUACUACUCUGACCUAGAGGACCGAAGUACCCAUCCCUUCAAAAGAGAGGAGCAAGAGAGAGAACUUAGCCAACAAAUAUUUACUGAUAAUAUGAACUUUACAAAAGAG